rnacentral:lncRNA from 1 species
UUAGUGUGUGUGAAUCCAUUUCUCCAACUACAAACAAAGCAGCUCAUUGAUUCAAACCAGCACCUUCUACACUUCAAGAAUCACUGUUAGAAAAACAACCACCUUUUUGGUUGUUCAAGCUUUGAUCCUCCUCAAUGCAAGGUAAGCCAAUAAUCUAUACCCCACAAACAUCAAUAGUAAGACACUGACACAGAUUCCAGGGCUAAUUUCCCCUCCAACAUCUUCUUCCAGGAACUUGCAGCUUGCAUUUUCACUGAUUCCAUGGCGGCUGCAGCCCAACAAUGAGGCAAGUUCUUUUCCAUCACCAUAUUGGACAUUGAUAAGCAGCCUAUAGCUGUAAUAUGUAGUUGAAAUGUACUUGAUCCAAGCCAUGCAAGAUG